UACAGGGGGGGCAAGCGUUGUUCGGAAUUACUGGGCGUAAAGGGCUCGUAGGCGGCCAACUAAGUCACACGUGAAAUCCCCAGGCUUAACCUGGGAACUGCGUCUGAUACUGGAUGGCUUGAGUUUGGGAGAGGGACGCGGAAUUCCAGGUGUAGCGGUGAAAUGCGUAGAUAUCUGGAGGAACACCGGUGGCGAAGGCGGCGUCCUGGACCAAUACUGACACUGAUGAGCGAAAGCCAGGGGAGCAAACGGG
rnacentral:rRNA from 1 species